UUUCAGGGCAGGGUGAAAGUCCCUACUGGUGGUAAAGUCCACGACCCAUUGCAAAAUGGCUGAUUUGGUGCAAUUCCAAAACCAACGGUUAAAGUCCGGAUGAGAGAAA
rnacentral:ncRNA from 1 species